CGGAUUUGCUAAAAUAUCACAGUAGAUGGCAUUUGUGGUGCUACAUUGCUGAAAAGAUUCUGACUCCUAAAUUUAAAGUUUCAAGCUAGUUUGUUGGAAAGCUAUUCAAACAGUUAAGUUCCAGGUGGAAAGGGUUACUUUAUGUGAUUAUUAUCUGGAUUUUGAGUCCCGGAAUAGAAUAGUCUACUUGUAAUGUUCACUCAAAAAUUCCAAUUUUAAUUAAUAUAGACAUUCCUAUGUUCUUAUUUCUUAAAAGAAAAAAUUAUCUAAAUCAAUCGUGAUCAUUAGGCUGACCUUGAGCCUAUAUAUGUUUCCCUUAUGACUGUUUAUGUUAACUGGUUUCUGAUAACAUGCCAUUGUAGGAAGAAGCAUCGUCUGUUGAUUCUCUGAAACAUGUAGUCAUUGAUACUGCAACACUGAUGGCAAUAGUGUACUCCAUGGUAAAAAGUGACUACACAAUGCAGGAAAAAAUUGUUUCUUCCCUUAACCUCACUUCACCUUCCGGAGAAUUGGAUAGCUAUUCCAGCAUGUGGUCGUUGCGCCCUUACAUAGAUGAUGAAAUCAUGCAUAAAGCUUGGAAACUUGUCCGCUAACUCGUUCUAUAGCAGAAAAAGCUCUGCUGUAUAGUUUUCUUUCUGGAAAUUUGCUUGAAGCCGUAGAAAAAUGCAGUUGGGAGAUAAGAAAAAAAGACAGACGAAAGGAAGUACCGGAAAUAAUAGGAGUUUUGGCGGUAGAAGAAGGUUAUGAUAUUGAAGAUUAUUAAUUAUUGGUUCAAGUAUGUAAUUGUGUUAUAACAGUGAAUCAAGUGGAUUAACACAUUUACUUCUUUCUUUUAGGAAUUUACGCAAUGAUUUUUUCGCUUUCACUUUCAAACACCUGCUGAUAACUAGAGUCAUUCUUUGAUA